AGGGCGCCGGGCUUCCGCGCAUGCGCGCGGAGGAGGUGGGAAAGGAUGGGAAGCCUAGAGGGUCAAACUAGGCGAAGGACGUUCGCUUAUACAAGAGAGCGAGUUGCGGCUUGAAUGAGGCUUUCGCACGUGUCUGAUUUCCCCUCUCCCACGGUUCUCUAAAAGAAGGCUCCCAGGAGAACGAGCACGCCACCUACUCUUUCAAACUGAGUCAUGAAAAUAGAACCAGAGAGCAAGGGCAUGAGGAAGGAGCACUGACUUGCGAAUCUAUACUUAGAAGACGAUAAACGCUUUGCUUUCAAAGAAUUACAUUACCGUACCGUAUGCCUCCGUCUCGUAAUUGGAGAAGUCAUGUAUCAGCCUAUCAUCCUAGAUUACAAAGAGUUCUACUGAUUCACUUAUAGUGUUCCGCUGUCCCCAGGCUAUAGGUUCCCUGAAGGCCAUUGAGUUUGUCCACUACUGUUUCCCAGCACCUGGAACUGUGCCUGCCAUAUAAUACUCACUCAAGUGUUUGGUCUGAUGGAAUCCUAAUCCACCUCAAGAUGCUGAGCGAGGGCUUCCCUGGUGGCGCAGUGGUUGAGAAUCUGCCUGCCAAUGCAGGGGACACGGGUUCGAGCCCUGGUC